rnacentral:rRNA from 1 species
AUUGAACGCUGGCGGCAUGAUUUACACAUGCAAGUCGAACGGUAACAGGCCGCAAGGUGCUGACGAGUGGCGAACGGGUGAGUAAUGCAUCGGAACGUGCCCAGUCGUGGGGGAUAACUACUCGAAAGAGUAGCUAAUACCGCAUACGAUCUAUGGAUGAAAGCGGGGGACCGUAAGGCCUCGCGCGAUUGGAGCGGCCGAUGUCAGAUUAGGUAGUUGGUGGGGUAAAGGCUCACCAAGCCAACGAUCUGUAGCUGGUCUGAGAGGACGACCAGCCACACUGGGACUGAGACACGGCCCAGACUCCUACGGGAGGCAGCAGUGGGAAUUUUGGACAAUGGGCGCAAGCCUGAUCCAGCAAUGCCGCGUGCAGGAAGAAGGCCUUCGGGUUGUAAACUGCUUUUGUACGGAACGAAACGGCUCUGGUUAAUACCCGGGGCUAAUGACGGUACCGUAAGAAUAAGCACCGGCUAACUACGUG